UAGGGAAUCUUCCGCAAUGGACGAAAGUCUGACGGAGCAACGCCGCGUGAGCGAAGAAGGUCUUCGGAUCGUAAAGCUCUGUUGUCAGGGAAGAACAAGUACCGUUCGAACAGGGCGGUACCUUGACGGUACCUGACGAGGAAGCCACGGCUAACUACGUGCCAGCAGCCGCGGUAAUACGUAGGUGGCAAGCGUUGUCCGGAAUUAUUGGGCGUAAAGCGCGCGCAGGCGGUUCCUUACGUCUGGUGUGAAAUCUCGCGGCUCAACCGCGUGCGGCCAUUGGAAACUGGGGAACUUGAGUGCGGGAGGGGGGGGAGGAAUUCCACGUGUAGCGGUGAAAUGCGUAGAGAUGUGGAGGAACACCAGUGGCGAAGGCGGCUCUCUGGCCUGUAACUGACGCUGGGGCGCGAAAGCGUGGGGAGCGAACAGG
rnacentral:rRNA from 1 species